UACUUUACCUUUUCCAUUAUUCCUUAUUUGUUAUACUUAUGAGGGAAUAAAUAUUUUACCACACAGGUCAUAGAGGUAAGCAGCCUAUGGAACAUCACAAUCGAAAAAUGAACAUCUAAACCUAAAAUCAAAAGUUCUACACAGAUUGAACACUUAAUUGUUCAAUAGCUUCAAAACAUUGGCUGAAAUCCUGUUGCUAACUUAAGAACCCUUGUAAUGUUCAAACUGUUUCUUAGCAAAUAAAAAGUCCUUGCCAUGAUGACUGUGAGCAUGUAUGCACAAUGGUUUUGGUCCAUUGUGGUCUGAAAGUUACAUCUUUUCUUACAUUCAGCAACAGGAGUCUGGGUAUUAUGUUUCUGUUAACAGUAGCAGCUUAACUUCUGCUUCUAACAGCAGAUGGUAAAGAUAUGAAUCUUCAAGGAAUUUCACAAUUCUUGAGUAAUGACUAAUACUGUCUGUUCCCAUCUUGUAGUUAAUUGGUGGAACAGUGGAACUUAUGGAUGAUCUUAGAAUAGUACAGUAAGCAGAAAAAAUAUUCAAGGCCAGAAAGGUAAAGGUGGUUGCUGAGCAACCUCUGUCUGUGUGAUGACAACCAGGUCUUUGUGAUGUCUCUGGGGAGACUUUUAAGCUAUACUGCUUGGUGGUCAGAAGUUGCUAUCCUGUUUUAACUCAGACUGGCCCCAGUCUUGCAGAAAUCAGGGUCUCCAUAGUCCAUGCCUCUACAUAUCCUGACUAUGCUCUAGAGGAGGAAGUGGCCAUCUACAGAACUGAGUGUCAUGGAUCUGGCACAGGUUAAAGGCAACAAAUUAAAGCAAAGAGGCCUUGGAAACCUUGAAGGAGAGAAUGCUUGGCUACAGGAGUGGAUCCAUGAAGAACUCGCCCAUGGGGAAGUCUGGCAGAGACAACACGAGGUCCUGUUGGGGCACCAGGCCCAGCUCUGCUCCCUGCUGCAGGCUAAGAGUUUCCAACCUCUGGAGAAGAAGACCCAAGCACUACAAGAGGAGCUGGAGGAAGCCCAGGAGGCCCUGCGGGAGUGCCGCAAUCAAAGUCGACAACGGCAACUGCACAUUCACAAGCGAGUGAGCCCCUUAGAUGGAAAUGUGGAGAGCCCUCCAUUCUGCUCUCUCCGCCAUCAGCUUCUCUCUUACCCAUUCAUAGAGUCAUCUUUCCACAUAAACAAAGAGAUGUGAGGAUCAAUGACAUAACAUAGUCUUCUAGAUUCUCUUCAAAAAAAUAUGCUGGGGAGGGCAGCUGGCAUUGGAAUGGCUGAGCGGAUUGAGAGGACAGGUAUUUACUUUUGGUUAAUUAAGACUCCAUCUUAUUAGGAGAGAAUACCCUUUUCUACCCUUAUGGUAGAGAUGGCCAAUCAGCACCCCCAUGAUUCUCGUUUCAUUUCAAAAGCUUCAGCAAGUGAUCAUUUCAGUCAGUUCCCUAUGUUCUCUGCUUAAGGUGAAGGCCAUCAAAAUGCUGGAUGACCCUCUUAAUUUAUGGUUGCUCCUGCCUAGAUUCCCAGACCUGGGGCAGGCAAGAGUCCAACUUUAUGGAGAACAGUUCUGUAUUUGAGGAGCUGCCAAAGGAUUAUCCUCUUUCUUUGGAGGUGUCUGGUGUUUGAAGGACUGUCCAGGUCAAGUCUGGUUGAAAGGGCCAUAAGCAGUAGAGGGCAUGAAGUUCCCCAUCCAGAAUUAGCAUUUGGCUAGUUUACUGAGCUAGCCAGGGGACGUGGUGGCGUUGCGGGCUAAACUGCAGAAGCCUCUAUGCCGCAAGACCAGCAAUCGUAAGAUUGAAUCCACACGUUUAUGGCACAGUUUUCUUUUCCAGGGCACAAUCUUUUCACCUAUUUG
ensembl:lncRNA